rnacentral:rRNA from 1 species
CCUACGGGAGGCAGCAGUGAGGAAUAUUGGUCAAUGGCCGGAAGGCUGAACCAGCCAUGCCGCGUGAAGGUCAGUGCCCUAUGGGCGUUAAACUUCUUUUGUGCGGGAGCAAUAAUGGUCACGUGUGGCCAGACGAGAGUACCGUACGAAUAAGCAUCGGCUAACUCCGUGCCAGCAGCCGCGGUUAUACGGGGGAUGCAAGCGUUAUCCGGAUUUAUUGGGUUUAAAGGGUGCGUAGGCUGGGAGGUAAGUCAGCGGUGAAAUGCCCCCGCUCAACGGGGUGAAGUGCCAUUGAUACUGCCUGGCUGGAAUGCGGAAGCCGUGGGAGGAAUGUGUGGUGUAGCGGUGAAAUGCAUAGAUAUCACACAGAACACCGAUUGCGAAGGCAUCUCACGAAUCCGCGAUUGACGCUGAUGCACGAAAGCGUGGGUAUCAAACAGGAUUAGAUACCCCUGUAGUC